rnacentral:tRNA from 1 species
GCCCUGGUGGUGGAAUUGGUAGACACAAGGGAUUUAAAAUCCCUCGGCGUUCGCGCUGUGCCGGUUCAAGUCCGGCCCUGGGCACCA